AGCGUGCUAAUAGCGCGCUAGAUGUCAUUUAGCGCUGAAAAUUGGGCCUCUAGCGUUAGCGUCCCGCGUCUCUGACCUAAAAUUUUCGGCCCAAAAUGAAAUCGCUACGCGGGCUAAAGCCCAAGCCUACCAAUAGCGAAUACUAUGCCCCCAACCCUCCUCUCGAGCGAAACCCUAUCCCCACUCCCGUCCUCAUCUCAAACAGGAACCAUGGCGGCGGCCGACCAACGACCAACCAUGGCGACGGCCUCGAGCUGCCACUCCGGCGACUGACCUUCCUCGCCACUCCCUCCCAGCGACGGGGUAUUCCUUCCACCAGGCGACGCAGCUCCCGGACGUUUCCUCUCGGCUGCUCCCUCCUGGCCACUUCCUCUGCUGACGGCGACGACCGCAUCCACAAGGCGACGGAGCACCCCGCGGCGACGGUGUCCACCAGGCGACCAUGAGCCAGCAAAUCCCGUCAGCAGGUAAGCUCAUCUAUCCUUUGUUAUCUCUUCUUGUGGAUGCUUGUACUACUAUAGGAAUCUGCUGAAGUUUUCAGUUAUAUACAAAAUACAGAUACAUUGAAAGUUUAUUUGCUACUGAUGUACAUUUUUCUAUCACGUACUUUGGAUUGCCUUAAUCUGCAUAGGUGUUGGUGGCUCAAGCACUGCCUCAGUAGCAGCACCUGCACUCCCUCAAGUUGAUUCGGAUGACCCUGCGUGGAAGUAUUGCACUCUUCCAGAUGUGAACAAGAAGCAUUGGCAGUUGGUAUGUUGUUUAUGUACUCUUCAGGACCAUCUCAUGUUGUUUAUGUACCACUUUUGUUAUUCAAAGUGUGCUGGUGGUAUGUUGCUAGUUGCUAUGCCAAACUUUGCUCUGUUAUGUAAUGAAUUGAACCAUCUCCUGAUAUAUGUCCUUAUUAUGUAUGGUAGGAACUACAUAAUACUAUGUUAUGUGGCUGUUUGCAUGAGUAUGGUAGGAACUACAUAAUACAGUAUCAUUUUUCUAUUAACUUGACUGUAUGGUAGUUGAUAUAUGUCCAUUUUCAAGUAUAUAUAUGUCAAGUUGAUGACUGAUUCUAUGUUUAUUUUUUCAUUUUUUAUUGAUUUAUACUGAAACGCUAAAUGGGGCUUAGCACGCUAUAGCUGCGCUAUAGCGUUUCAUAGCUCUUGGUCAGGCCGACGCUAAGAGGCUUAGCGCGCUAUCUAAAACUUUGGU
rnacentral:lncRNA from 1 species